AUUGAACGCUGGCGGCAGGCCUAACACAUGCAAGUCGAGCGGAUGAAGGGAGCUUGCUCCUGGAUUCAGCGGCGGACGGGUGAGUAAUGCCUAGGAAUCUGCCUGGUAGUGGGGGAUAACGUCCGGAAACGGGCGCUAAUACCGCAUACGUCCUGCGGGAGAAAGUGGGGGAUCUUCGGACCUCACGCUAUCAGAUGAGUCUAGGUCGGAUUAGCUAGUUGGUGGGGUAAAGGCCUACCAAGGCGACGAUCCGCAACUGGUCUGAGAGGAUGAUCAGUCACACUGGAGCUGGGCCACGGUCAAGGCUCCUACGGGAGGCAGCAGUGGGGAAUGUUGGACAAUGGUCGAAAACCUGACCCAACCGUGCCGCGUGUGUGAAGAAAGUCUUCGGAUUGUGAAGCACUUUAAGUUGGGAGGAAGGGUAGUAAGUUGAUACCUUGCUGUUUUGACGUUACCAACAGAAUAAGCACCGGCUAACUACGUG
rnacentral:rRNA from 1 species